rnacentral:lncRNA from 1 species
UUUUCUCUGAAUCACGAUUAGGGUUUCUAUUUCAUUUCUCCAUCACAAUAUCCUAUUUUCGUAUUUCCUAUCUCCUUUAAAGGUUGCCGCCACUCUUGUCGAAAGACUCGCGGAAGGCUCACCACUCGAAGGCUUUGCCGCAUUCUGCCGCCGCCACUUUGCCAUUGCCACCCUUUGUCGUCGCCACCCUCUGCCGUCGCCGCACUCUACCAUCGCUGGAAAGAAAAGCAAAUCUGCAACCUAAAGGUACGUUUUUCCCUUACCCUUUCAAAAGAAAUUGAAAAACCUUGGUAUAGCAGCAUUGGAAGAACGAAGGAGAAGAAGGGGGAGCAAAACGACGCCGUUGAGGCGGGAGCCAGAGGAGGACGCACCUGAGUUCCCGAAGGAGUCGAUGGAGUUGCCGGCGGAGGAGAGGGCGAGGGCGGGAGGUCGUCGUCGAAGAGAGAGUAUUCGAGGAAGGACGUCGUGGACAGCGAGGGGGGUGGAUAAGAGGUCGGGGUAGCUGAGGGGGGUGUGGUCGAGGGAGAAGUUGGUGGAGGAGUUGUCGGUGACGAAGAUGGUUUUGGCGGCAAGAAGGGUAGGGAGGCGGGCGUAGCGGGGGAGGAAGAGGAGGUCGGAGAAGGGGAGACGCUAGGGGACAACGUGAUAGGGGAGUAGGAAGGGGAUCCAGCGGAGGACGAAGGUUGCGUGAGAUGAAUAGUGUGGCUUUGAACUAAAUCAGUUUUCUAAACUGUAUUAGUGUAACUGAACUAAAAUUAAGUUCAGUUCCUUUGAACUACUUUUUUAGUUCAAUUCAGUUUUUUUAAUUAUUAUAUAGUUAACUGUAAUUGGUUAUAAUACAGUUCAAAUAGUUCAGUUUGCUCACCCCUAAGCAUAAAACCUUUAUAAAUGUCAAUUUGCUUUACAUGAUUGAUAAUCAAUAUUUGUAAGCUUAAACAAAUGGGCACUGAAUUUGUAGGCAUUGCAUUUUUGAAAUGGUCGUGUCACUGUGCAAAAGUCGCACUGCUUCAUCACUUAAUUUGUUUGCCAAUACUCUUCGCCGAUUCUCUAUUGGUACAUUCGUUUCUCCUUUCUCCUUUAAUUCUCAGCAACAAGAACAUUAGCUUCGUAGUAUUUGUACAAAUGGUGCAAGAUGGAGAAAAUAUUGGAAAAAGUCUCCCCUUCUUUGGGUUUCUUUUUGUGACUGCUCUUCAGUUUAGUUGCAUAGCUUUGCACAAAUUACUUAGAUUGCUUUACACCCUAGCCUUAUAGUAAUAAAGUCGUAUUGUUUUCAAUGUUGUUUAGUGGUGGCUUAAGAAAUCAUCAUAUAUAAACACUGUCAAGUAAAGUAAUAGCUUUGUUCAUGCUCUACUGCAAAAUAAUGUUGUUUUAAGUAGCAUUAGGUACACUUGUUAGAAGAGGAACCAAAGAAAAUUCAUAUGGUUACGUUUUAAAAUUAAAGAAAAUAGAACAUUAUGGGGUGAGAAAUGUGAACAUUUUACUUUGUCUAUGGGCUAAAUGCUAUCCAAAAUGGAAAUUAUGGCCUCUAUGCUGCGCUUGUUUCUUUCGCUGGAGUUUUGUUACAUGCAUUUCUGCCUUUUUCACAAGGGUGAAAACACCAGUGCUCAAAGAACGCCAGAGAGUAUAGUGAAUCAAAUGAUGUAUUCUGACAUAAACUCACGAAUUGGGAGUUGCAUGCCACUGCCUACAAUGCGAAUUGGAACAAUCAUUCACAACAUUGAAUUGAACCCAGGGUAAGGUGGCAAGCUUGUCCGAGCUGCAGGAACUAGUGCAAAGAUCUCGAAAGAGCCCACAUAAGCAUAUUGUUUAAUCCAGAUGUCCUCUGGUGUUAAAAAGUUAAUUGAUUCUCGGUGUAGGGCCACCAUUGGGCUUGUGUCUAAUCCAAGCCAUGGGGAUCACAAGCUUAGGAAGGUCGGACACAGACGAUGGCUUAGUCGAAGACCUGUUGUUCGAGGAGUGGCUAUGAAUCCCGUAGAUCAUCCUCAUGGGGGAGGAGAGGGUAAAAGCAAGAGUGGUGGAAAAUGGGGAAGAGGAUCUCACUCCUUGUGGCAAGCCAACCAAGGGGGGCUAUAAGACUGGACCCCUGAAGCGCAUAGGUUAGUAGUAGUAUAUAUAGCAUUCACUAUAGCUGCUUCUGAUGCUUCCUCACAAGAUGCUUGUAAUAAUUGUAGAAGCUUUCAUUCCUGCUUAGAAAAUUUAUGGAAUUGAUUAGAUUCAAUCAAAGUGUCAAUUUUAUGGGUUCAAAUUUUACUGUUGCUAAAGUAAAAUGCUUUUGCAUUUUCUCUGAACUGGUCUUGAAGUCAACUUAUUACACUUCCAUUGGUUUGGACUAAGUUUGUUGACUUGCUUAAAUGAGACAACGCUUUUUGUUUCUUUUAUCCUUCUGCUUUGUAUUGAUGAGAGGAAAAUAUGUUGAUGCUUUUCCUUUGAUAAUGUUUUCGAGAUAAAGAAAUAAAUUAAUUUUAACACAAAGUGGGAAAGAGGGAGGGAGAAUGAAAGGGAAAGGGAAAGCAACUGAAGAUGCUUGUAACUUCUGUUAUCCUUCUGUUUUAUAUUGACCACUUGUCUUUCUUUUCUUCAAUUCACAGCAAAGUUAGAGAGCGAAAGGGAAAGCAACCGAAUACGCUUGUAACUUCCCUAAUUACAAAUUUACCAUUUUCACUACGAAUCUCGAGGGUUUUAUUGGAAUUGAAAGAUCCCUGAUCGAUUCUGAUUCGGAAAAUGCCUUCUUCAAGUGCAGCCGAUGUUGGAUCCAUCGACCCCACAACUGCAAGAUAAAACACCAAGCAACCCAAGGCUUGAUGUAAUCUUGAAGAUCUGUAUGACCAGAGGUUUGGAGAAGCAAAGUAGCGGAUGCAAUCCAAUGGAACAGUACCAACAAUGUGAUUCCAGUACAGAUCUGGAUUGUUUGCAGAAACGAAACUUGGUGGAGAUAUGGAGGAUGUUGGCAGCAGAGGUUGUGUUUGCAGAGGUUAGAUGAAAUGGAGGAUAGCUUGAAGAGGUGAAUCACAACUCAGAAGGCCCCCACACUAGGAAGGAAGUUGCAAUGGAGAAGCAAGCAUUGAAGUGACUCUCGGACAUGAGAAAGUGUCUAUGCAUUUCAACAGAGUUUCUCUAAUAUCAUCCAAUGUGCUAAAUGUGCUAGCUUCUAGAAACCAUAUGGAGUACACAUUUAUUUUAAUUCUAAUAUAAGAAAGUUCCCGGUGCACCCUCUAUCAAGCUAAUCUCACCCCUGCAUGUGCAUAAAGGUCUCUUUUACCCCUCUCCAUGUUUUUGGGUUGUUCUUUAUUUGGUGGGCUUGGCCCCCGCAUAUCAUCCCCUCCCCCUUGGAAAGGAUUUGUCCUCAAAUCUGAUGGUUCGCCUGAGGACUUAUUUUUGUAGACUUCACUAGAAUUCCUCCAAGGUCAAAUAUCCACCUGCAAUAAGCAUUAAACAUAUCACUAAUUAGUUUUCUAUGACCCAACAAAAUAUAUAAAAGAACAUGUUUAGAAGAAGGUUUCUUAAUUUUAAAAUGUUCAAGUUUAAUACUAUGAAGAAACCUUUCUUCUUUUGAAAUUUUAUUUGUCUCUUGAGUUAGUGGUACCCAUAAAAGUAACCCUAACCCAAGUUGUGAAUUGCCAUGUAUUGAAGGUUUUAUUAUUUUUAAAGAUGGCAUGGNAAAUUCUUGGAGAGAAAAGUGAUAUUUUGGACUUUCAAAANUAAAUGAAGAAAAGUGAAAGGAUAGUAAACCUCCCCUUAAUAGUUUUGAUUCCAUUGUGGUUGGAGGAGAUAUUGCUCUUAGUUGCUUUUGUUCACUUUCUUCCACUUCUUUUCUUUCAAUUUCUUCUUUGUCUUCUCUUUCUUUUUCUUUUAUUCUCUCUUCCUCUUUUCUUCUCUCUUCUUCUCUCUCUUCUUCCUCUCUUUUUCUUCUGUCUUCUUCUAUCUCUUCCUCUCUUUUUCUUCUCUCUAAUUCUAGUCUUCUUUGAUUUUCUUCUUUCAACUUUCUUUCUUUUUCUUUUUCAUCUAUUUCCUUGUUAAGGCGCAUUUGUGCUUGAUCAUCCGCCACUUGUGAUGAUGAGAGAGGAUGAAGUACAAAUUUAUUCUCAUGAUGAUGCACAAUUAUGGUAUUGGUAAGACCAUUAUGAAUUGUUUUAUGAUCAAAUUGCCAUGGUCUUCCCAAUAAAACAUGACAAAUUUCCAUUGGAACUACAUCACAUAAAACUUUGUUUUUAAAAUUGCCAAUGGAAAUUGUUACUGUGACUUGAUCCUUGACUGUGAUAUUCCCAUCUUUAUUGAUCCAAUGUAUUUUAUAAGGUUU